AUUGAACGCUGGCGGCAUGCCUUACACAUGCAAAUCGAACGGUAACGGGCCUUCGGGUGCCGACGAGUGGCGAACGGGUGAGUAAUACAUCGGAACGUGCCCGAUCGUGGGGGAUAACGAGGCGAAAGCUUUGCUAAUACCGCAUACGAUCUACGGAUGAAAGCAGGGGACCGCAAGGCCUUGCGCGGACGGAGCGGCCGAUGGCAGAUUAGGUAGUUGGUGGGGUAAAAGCUUACCAAGCCGACGAUCUGUAGCUGGUCUGAGAGGAUGAUCAGCCACACUGGGACUGAGACACGGCCCAGACUCCUACGGGAGGCAGCAGUGGGGAAUUUUGGACAAUGGGCGCAAGCCUGAUCCAGCCAUGCCGCGUGCAGGAUGAAGGCCUUCGGGUUGUAAACUGAUUUUGUACGGAACGAAAAGCCUUCUUUUAAUACAGGAGGGUCAUGACGGUACCGUAAGAAUAAGCACCGGCUAACUACGUG
rnacentral:rRNA from 1 species